CAGUCGCCGCGGGAAUACCAGCACCUCGAGUGGUCAGGAGGUUUAUUGGGCCUAAAGCAUCCGUAGCCGGUUGCAUAAGUUUUCGGUUAAAUCUAUGCGCUUAACGUAUAGGCCGCCGAAAAUACUGUGCAGCUAGGGAGUGGGAGAGGUACACGGUACUCGAUAGGAAGGGGUAAAAUCCUUUGAUCUAUUGAUGACCACCUGUGGCGAAGGCGGUGUACCAGAACACGUUCGACGGUGAGGGAUGAAAGCUGGGGGAGCAAACCGGAUUAGAUACCCGCGUAGUCCCUGUCUCUUAUAC
rnacentral:rRNA from 1 species